rnacentral:rRNA from 1 species
GAUGAACGCUGGCGGCGUGCCUAAUACAUGCAAGUCGAGCGAACGGACGAGAAGCUUGCUCCUCUGAUGUUAGCGGCGGACGGGUGAGUAACACGUGGAUAACCUACCUCUAAGACUGGGAUAACUUCGGGAAACCGGAGCUAAUACCGGAUAAUAUUUCGAACCGCAUGGUUCAAAAGUGAAAGACGGUCUUGCUGUCACUUAUAGAUGGAUCCGCGCUGCAUUAGCUAGUUGGUAAGGUAACGGCUUACCAAGGCAACGAUGCAUAGCCGACCUGAGAGGGUGAUCGGCCACACUGGAACUGAGACACGGUCCAGACUCCUACGGGAGGCAGCAGUAGGGAAUCUUCCGCAAUGGGCGAAAGCCUGACGGAGCAACACCGCGUGAGUGAUGAAGGUCUUCGGAUCGUAAAGCUCUGUUAUUAGGGAAGAACAUAUGUGUAAGUAACCGUGCACAUCUUGACGGUACCUAAACAGAAAGCCACGGCUAACUACGUG